GGCAUAAUGACCUUUUGAGACACCUGAUCCACCAGAGCAUGGUUGUUGACACCCUUAAACUUAAUAUGUCCAGCCAUGUAGUUGGGGUCAUUGCUUCGUAAUGCUUCCAUAGAACAUUGUGGUCCUAAAGCCACCUUCUUUUUGCUCCACAUUUUCAGCUUACUCCCUUUUUUGAAUUUCAUGAUAUGUAGCCCAAAGUACUACUUGAAAUCCUUUUGAAUUGCAGAG
rnacentral:misc_RNA from 1 species